rnacentral:lncRNA from 1 species
AUGAAUCAUUUGAGUGAAUGUAGGGAAACUAUAAAAUCCAAAACAAAACAGAAAAAAACAGAAGAACAGUGGCGUGCACUGGAAACAGGGAGCCCAGGUGAAAACACCAAUCAGGCGCCUGGUGAUGUGACUGUGGAACUACUGUUGGAACAACAGCGGCUCGUUAACGAGCUCAUAAACGCUGUGAUUGUACGCGCCUCAAGAGAGGCAAAGGUGCCGCCGUGUGAUGAGAUUCAGCAGCGACUAUUCAUAUCUCUGUGGGCGAAAAUUAAGGGAAAAGCUAUUAACAUCAAACGACAUACAGUGAAAAGUCUGGAAAAAGCCAUUUUCAAAGAUAUUCAGAAGCAGGGUGUAGCUGUAGGAACCCCAGAGUGCACCAAGAUGCUCCAGUCUUCCAGGUGGAAAGAGUAG